UCCAUUGUCUCGGAUCGAGAUUGAGUUUUCACAAGUCAUUUUUGGAGGAAGUUGUUUAAGGAAGUGGGCACCAAAUUAUGCUACUCGACAGCGUAUCACCCGCAGACGGACGGACAAUCUGGACGUGUGAACCAGUGCUUAGAGCAAUAUUUGCGAUGUUCAGUACGCGACAGUCCAGCAAAAUGGAAGAAAUGGUUGCCGAUGGCAGAAUUUUGGUAUAACUCUUCCUACCAUACAUCCCUGGGCUGCACCCCAUUUAAAGCUCUAUAUGGAAUUGAUCCUAAUUUUGGCACAAUGCUACCUUGGAGGAUGAAUUGGACUUCAUUAGCAGAGCUAUCAGCUGAUCGUGCUGACUUCCUGGCUUUGCUCCGGGAGCAUCUUUGCCGGGCACAGGAGCGCAUCAAGGCUCAAGCUGACAAGCAUCACCAAGACUGUGCUUUCGCGGUAGAUGAAGAUGUGCUCCUCAAGCUCGAGCCAUAUGCUCAAUCGUCACUUGUCAAUUGACCAUGCACCAAACUGGCUCUCAAAUUCUAUGAGCCCAUUAUAAAGUUCUGGAACGAAUUGGAGCUGCAGCUUAUCGGUUGGAUCUUCCCCCCUCAAGCCUCAUACACUCCAUGUUUCAUGUGUCACAGCUGA
rnacentral:rRNA from 1 species